rnacentral:rRNA from 1 species
AACGAACGCUGGCGGCGUGGCUAAGGCUUGCAAGUCGAACGGUACGGUGUAGCAAUAUGCCGUAUAGUGGCGGACGGGUGAGUAAUACAUGGAUAACGUACCUCGGAUUCAGGGAUAACAGCGGGGCAACCCUUUGCGAAAGUGCUGCUAAUACCUGAUGACCCCGCGGAGUCGCAUGGCUCUGCGGGCAAAGUUCCGGCGAUCCGAGAUCGGUCCAUGUCCUAUCAGCUAGUUGGUAGGGUAACGGCCUACCAAGGCAAUGACGGGUAUCGGAUAUGAGAGUACGACCCGACACAUCGGAACUGAGACACUGUCCGGACACCUACGGGUGGCUGCAGCAACGAAUAUUCCGCAAUGGGGGCAACCCUGACGGAGCGACGCCGCGUGCAGGAUGAAGUCCCUCGGGAUGUAAACUGCUUUCAGGGGGAAGAAAUUUUGAUCUACCCCAGAAGAAGCCUCGGCUAACUUCGUGCCAGCAGCCGCGGUAAUACGAAGGAGGCAAGCGUUGUUCGGAAUCACUGGGCUUAAAGCGCGUGUAGGCGGGGUGAAAGGUACCUUGUGGAAUCCCUUGGCUCAACUGAGGAAUUGCUUGGUAAACCGGCACUCUUGAGGCAGGUAGAGGUGGGCGGAACUAUGGGUGGAGCGGUGAAAUGCGUAGAGAUCCAUGGGAACACCGGUGGCGAAAGCGGCCCACUAGGCGGUGGCGAAAGCGGCCCACUAGGCCUGAACUGACGCUGAGACGCGAGAGCGUGGGUAGCAAACAGGAUUAGAUACCCUGGUAGUCCACGCUGUAACGAUGCGCACUAGAUACGAGACUCUGACGUUAUUCGUAUCGCAAUAAAAACGUAGUGCGCGCUGGGGGAGUACGGCGCAAGGCUAACUCAAUGAUGACGCGACUACACAAGCGGUGGGACAGGUGUGUUGAAAUCUGUUAAAAUAUCGUG